rnacentral:rRNA from 1 species
CGGGGGGUGCAAGCGUUGUUCGGAUUUAUGGGCGUAAAGCGCGUGUAGGCGGCUUGGCAAGUCGGGCGUGAAAGCCCUCAGCUCAACUGAGGAAGUGCACCCGAAACUGCCGAGCUUGAGUGCCGGAGAGGAUGGCGGAAUUCCCCAAGUAGAGGUGAAAUUCGUAGAUAUGGGGAGGAACACCGGUGGCGAAGGCGGCCAUCUGGACGGUAACUGACGCUGAGACGCGAAAGCGUGGGGGAGCAAACAGGAUUAGAUACCCUGGUAGUCCACGCCGUAAAUGAUGAGAACUAGAUGUCGCGGGUGUUGACCCCUGCGGUGUCGCAGCUAACGCAUUAAGUUCUCCGCCUGGGAAGUACGGUCGCAAGAUUA